rnacentral:rRNA from 1 species
GAUGAACGCUGGCGGCGUGCCUAACACAUGCAAGUCGAGCGAACAAAGGAGGAACUUGCUCCUCUGACGCUAGCGACGGAUGGGUGAGCCACACGAAGAUGACCCACAUAUAAGACUUAUGUCCCCCCGCGAACCCGGAGCCAAUAUCCGUUAAUAUAUUGAAACGCAUGGUUCAUUGGCCCACGAGCGGUUUGCUGACACUAAUAGAUGGAUCCGCGUCGGAUUAGCUAGUUGGUAAGGUAACGGCUUACCAAGGCAACGAUGCGUAGCCGAUCUGAGAGGGUGAUCAGACACACUGGAACUGAGACACGGUCCAGACUCCUACGGGAGGCAGCAGUAGGGAAUCUUGAGCAAUGGGCGAAAGCCUGACGGAGCAACGCCGCGUGGGUGAUGAAGGUCUUCGGAUCGUAAAACUCUGUUAUUAGGGAAGAACAGCUGUGUAUUUAUCCAUGCCCGUCUUGACGGUACCAACUCAGAAAGCCACGGCUAACUACGUG